UACGGGGGGGGCAAGCGUUGUCCGGAAUCAUUGGGCGUAAAGAGCGUGUAGGCGGUCCGUUAAGUCGGCUGUGAAAGUCCAAGGCUCAACCUUGGGAUGCCGGUCGAUACUGCCGGACUAGAGUUCGGAAGAGGCGAGUGGAAUUCCCGGUGUAGCGGUGAAAUGCGCAGAUAUCGGGAGGAACACCUAUGGCGAAGGCAGCUCGCUGGGACGUUACUGACGCUGAGACGCGAAAGCGUGGGGAGCAAACAGG
rnacentral:rRNA from 1 species